AGUCGAGGGGCAGCAUGAAGUAGCAAUACUUUGAUGGCGACCGGCAAACGGGUGCGGAACACGUACACAACCUUCCUUUUAGUGGGGAAUAGCCCAGAGAAAUUUGGAUUAAUACCCCGUAACAUAACGAUGUGGCAUCACAUUGUUAUUAUAGCUUCGGCGCUAGAUGAUGGGUGUGCGUAUGAUUAGAUAGUUGGCGAGGUAACGGCUCACCAAGUCUACGAUCAUUAGCUGAUGUGAGAGCAUGAUCAGCCACACGGGCACUGAGACACGGGCCCGACUCCUACGGGAGGCAGCAGUAAGGAAUAUUGGUCAAUGGACGCAAGUCUGAACCAGCUAUGCCGCGUGAAGGAUUAAGGUCCUCUGGAUUGUAAACUUCUUUUAUCUGGGACGAAAAAAGGUCUUUCUAGAUCACUUGACGGUACCAGAUGAAUAAGCACCGGCUAACUCCGUGCCAGCAGCCGCGGUAAUACGGAGGGUGCAAGCGUUAUCCGGAUUCACUGGGUUUAAAGGGUGCGUAGGCGGGUAGGUAAGUCAGUGGUGAAAUCCUGGAGCUCAACUCCAGAACUGCCAUUGAUACUAUCUAUCUUGAAUAUUGUGGAGGUAAGCGGAAUAUGUCAUGUAGCGGUGAAAUGCUUAGAUAUGACAUAGAACACCCAUUGCGAAGGCAGCUUACUACGCAUAUAUUGACGCUGAGGCACGAAAGCGUGGGGAUCAAACAGGAUUAGAUACCCUGGUAGUCCACGCCCUAAACGAUGGAUACUCGACAUACGCGAUACACUGUGGGUGUCUGAGCGAAAGCUUUAAGUAUCCCACCCUGGGGAGUACGUUCG
rnacentral:rRNA from 1 species